UGGGUUGUCUACUCCUUUGGCUCUAGAUCU
rnacentral:piRNA from 1 species